UGGGGAAUAUUGGACAAUGGGCGAAAGCCUGAUCCAGCCAUGCCGCGUGUGUGAAGAAGGUCUUCGGAUUGUAAAGCACUUUAAGUUGGGAGGAAGGGCAGUAAGCGAAUACCUUGCUGUUUUGACGUUACCGACAGAAUAAGCACCGGCUAACUCUGUGCCAGCAGCCGCGGUAAUACAGAGGGUGCAAGCGUUAAUCGGAAUUACUGGGCGUAAAGCGCGCGUAGGUGGUUCGUUAAGUUGAAUGUGAAAGCCCCGGGCUCAACCUGGGAACUGGAACCAAAACUGGCGAGCUAGAGUAGGGCAGAGGGUGGUGGAAUUUCCUGUGUAGCGGUGAAAUGCGUAGACAUAGGAAGGAAAACCAGUGGCGAAGGCGACCACCUGGGCUCAUACUGACACUUAGGUGCGAAAGCGUGGGGAGCAAACAGG
rnacentral:rRNA from 1 species